CCUACGGGAGACAGCAGUGGGGAAUAUUGCACAAUGGGGGCAACCCUGAUGCAGCAACGCAGCGUGAGUGAUGAAGUAUUUCGGUAUGUAAAGCUCUAUCAGCAGGGAAGAAAAUGACAGUACCUGACUAAGAAGCCCCGGCUAACUACGUGCCGGCAGCCGCGGUAAUACGUAGGGGGCAGGCGUUAUCCGGAUUUACUGGGUGUAAAGGGAGCGUAGACGGCUGCGCAAGUCAGAAGUGAAAGCCCGAGGCUCAACCGCGGGACUGCAUUUGAAACUGUGUAGCUAGAGUGCAGGAGAGGUAAGUGGAAUUCGUAGUGUAGCGGUGAAAUGCGUAGAUAUUAGGAGGAACACCGGUGGCGAAGGCGGCCUACUGGACUGUAACUGACGUUGAGGCUCGAAAGCGUGGGGAGCAAACAGGAUUAGAUACCCCAGUAGUC
rnacentral:rRNA from 1 species